UGGCUCAGGACGAACGCUGGCGGCGUGCCUAAUACAUGCAAGUCGAGCGAGUCUGCCUUGAAGAUCGGAGUGCUUGCACUCUGUGAAACAAGAUACAGGCUAGCGGCGGACGGGUGAGUAACACGUGGGUAACCUGCCCAAGAGAUCGGGAUAACACCUGGAAACAGAUGCUANGACCGGAUAACAACAGAUGAUGCCUAUCAACUGUUUAAAAGAUGGUUCUGCUAUCACUCUUGGAUGGACCUGCGGUGCAUUAGCUAGUUGGUAGGGUAACGGCCUAANAAGGCGAUGAUGCAUAGCCGAGUUGAGAGACUGAUCGGCCACAUUGGGACUGAGACACGGCCCAAACUCCUACGNGGAGGCAGCAGUAGGGAAUCUUCCACAAUGGACGCAAGUCUGAUGGAGCAACGCCGCGUGAGUGAAGAAGGGUUUCGGCUCGUAAAGCUCUGUUGUUGGUGAAGAAGGACCAGGGGUAGUAACUGACCUUUGUUUGACGGUAAUCAAUUAGAAAGUCACGGCUAACUACGUGCCAGCAGCCGCGGUAAUACGUAGGUGGCAAGCGUUGUCCGGAUUUAUUGGGCGUAAAGCGAGUGCAGGCGGCUCGAUAAGUCUGAUGUGAAAGCCUUCGGCUCAACCGGAGAAUUGCAUCAGAAACUGUCGAGCUUGAGUACAGAAGAGGAGAGUGGAACUCCAUGUGUAGCGGUGAAAUGCGUAGAUAUAUGGAAGAACACCGGUGGCGAAGGCGGCUCUCUGGUCUGUUACUGACGCUGAGGCUCGAAAGCAUGGGUAGCGAACAGGAUUAGAUACCCUGGUAGUCCAUGCCGUAAACGAUGAGUGCUAAGUGUUGGGAGGUUUCCGCCUCUCAGUGCUGCAGCUAACGCAUUAAGCACUCCGCCUGGGGAGUACGACCGCAAGGUUGAAACUCAAAGGAAUUGACGG
rnacentral:rRNA from 1 species